CUGGCAACAAUAUCCUGAUGCCGUCUGAGUGUGCGGGAAAGCUCCAGCAUCAGUGAUUUUGUUGGUGG
rfam:Xenopus tropicalis strain Nigerian Chr09_contig_813, whole genome shotgun sequence.